CAACCCAUUCUACACAAUAGAGCAGAAAGCGCGAUAGAGCGGGUCCCAAGUGCUUGCUCGAAAAAGAAAGCUGUUUCUUUGUUUAAAAUGCAAAGAGAGAAAGGGCUGGGCAAGACGGGUGCCAGCCGCCGCGGUAAUACCUGCAGCUCAAGUGGGGACCGCUAAAUUGGGCCUAAAACGUCCGUAGCCGGCUGAGUAAAUGCCUGGGUAAAUCGUGCCGCUUAACGGUACGAAUUCCGGGUAGACUGCUUAGCUUGGGACCGGAAGAAGUUAGAGGUACUCUUGGGGUAGGGGGGAAAUCCUGUAAUCCUGGGGGGACCCCCAGUGGCGAAGGCGUCUAACUAGGAGGGGUCUGACGGUGAGGGACGAAGCCCUGGGGCGCAAACCGGAUAAGAUACCCGGGUAGUCCAGGGUGUAAACGCUGCUUGCUUGAUGUUAGCUGGGCUCCGAGCUCAGCUAGUGUCGGAGAGAAGUUGUUAAGCAAGCUGCCUGGGAAGUACGGUCGCAAAACUGAAACUUAAAGGAAUUGGCGGGGGAAGGGCGAUUUCUUUAACCCUGCGGGACUAGUCCCUUUAGUGAGGUUAAUUUUGACUUUGGCGUAUUCAUGGCCAUGGUGUUUCCGGA
rnacentral:rRNA from 1 species